UACGUAGGGUGCGAGCGUUGUCCGGAAUUAUUGGGCGUAAAGAGCUUGUAGGCGGUUUGUCGCGUCUGCUGUGAAAAUCUGGGGCUCAACCCCGGACUUGCAGUGGGUACGGGCAGACUAGAGUGUGGUAGGGGAGACUGGAAUUCCUGGUGUAGCGGUGGAAUGCGCAGAUAUCAGGAGGAACACCGAUGGCGAAGGCAGGUCUCUGGGCCACUACUGACGCUGAGAAGCGAAAGCAUGGGGAGCGAACAGG
rnacentral:rRNA from 1 species